ACCGGCAGCUCAAGUGGUGGCCAUUUUUAUUGGGCCUAAAGCGUUCGUAGCCGGUUUGAUAAGUCUCUGGUGAAAUCCCGCGGCUUAACUGUGGGACUUGCUGGAGAUACUAUUAGACUUGAGGUCGGGAGAGGUUAGGGCUACUCCCAGGGUCGGGGUGAAAUCAUAGAAUCCUGGGAGGACCCGCUGUGGCGAAGGAGCCGAACUGGAAUGCACAUGACGGUGAGUAACGUCAGCAAGGUGCGAGACCCG
rnacentral:rRNA from 1 species